rnacentral:rRNA from 1 species
GCAUGCAGCUAUACCAGCCUCUAUGAACCCAAUCCCGUCAGAUCUUGGAAACUAUGCAGAGCGGGGCUUGGUUAGGCCUUGGAUGGGACACUAUCCUGGAAUGCUGGGUGCUAUAUGCC